rnacentral:misc_RNA from 1 species
GUUGUCGGCGGGGAGAUUUUCCGGGAAACCCUUGACGGACGAUUGAUAUAUGUAAAGGUGGUGUUGGAUAGUUCGGGUAUUCACUUUGACCCGUUUAUGGAACACUGGAGUAUCAGUUAGCAGAGUAGAGGAGCUGAUUGUUGAGUGUUUUGGUCAUACUUUGAUUUCGCCCAAUGAGUUCCCAAAAGCUAAUGCAAAAGAUUGGCAAUAGUUUACCAGAAGAAGAGCAGCCGGUAGAGAUGGUAGACAGACGGGAAGAUCAUCUGGCAGAGACAGCAGCCAGACGGGAAAAGCAGCCGGCAGGGAUGGCAAGCAGACAAGGGCAAGGGGAGCCAAGACCGGUGGAUAUCCCGGAGAGAACCCCUCACUUCUUCAAGAUUAUCCUGUCUCCACAUGCCUCUAAAUUACACAUCCCUGAUGAAUUUGUAACCGAGCAUGGCGCUAAUCUGGGGGAUAUUGUGCUGCUUGAGGUCCCAAAUGGCGUGGUA